rnacentral:rRNA from 1 species
AGCAGCCGCGGUAAUUCCAGCUCCAAUAGCGUAUAUUAAAGUUGUUGCAGUUAAAAAGCUCGUAGUUGAAUUUCGGGACCAAUCUGCCGGUCGUGCCUCCGGUACGCACUGGUUUUAUUGGUUUCUCCCUUCUGACGAACCAUGAUGUCAUUAAUUUGGUGUCAUGGGGAAUCAGGACUGUUACUUUGAAAAAAUUAGAGUGUUUAUAGCAGGCUCACGCUUGAAUACAUUAGCAUGGAAUAAUGAAAUAGGACGUUUGACCCUAUUUUGUUGGUUUCUAGGAUCGACGUAAUGAUUAAUAGGGAUAGUUGGGGGCAUUAGUAUUCAAUUGUCAGAGGUGAAAUUCUUGGAUUUAUUGAAGACUAACUACUGCGAAAGCAUUUGCCAAGGAUGUUUUCAUUAAUCAAGAACGAAAGUUAGGGGAUCGAAGACGAUCAGAUACCGUCGUAGUCUUAACCAUAAACUAUGCCGACUAGGGAUCGGAUGAUGUUAAUUUUUAAUGACUCAUUCGGCGCCUUAC